GACGAACGCUGGCGGCGUGCUUAACACAUGCAAGUCGAACGGAAAGGCCCUGCUUUUGUGGGGUGCUCGAGUGGCGAACGGGUGGGUAACACGUGAGUAACCUGCCCUUGACUUUGGGAUAACUUCAGGAAACUGGGGCUAAUACCGGAUAGGAGCUCCUGCUGCAUGGUGGGGGUUGGAACGUUUCGGCGGUUGGGGAUGGACUCGCGGCUUAUCAGCUUGUUGGUGGGGUAGUGGCUUACCAAGGCUUUGACGGGUAGCCGGCCUGAGAGGGUGACCGGCCACAUUGGGACUGAGAUACGGCCCAGACGCAUACGGGAGGCAGCAGUGGGGAAUAUUGCACAAUGGGCGGAAGCCUGAUGCAGCAACGCCGCGUGCGGGAUGACGGCCUUCGGGUUGUAAACCGCUUUCGCCUGUGACGAAGCGUGAGUGACGGUAAUGGGUAAAGAAGCACCGGCUAACUACGUG
rnacentral:rRNA from 1 species